AGAACGAACGCUGGCGGCAUGCCUAAUACAUGCAAGUCGAACGAACACUUCGGUGUUAGUGGCGCACGGGUGCGUAACGCGUGGGAAUCUGCCCUUGGGUUCGGAAUAACAGUUGGAAACGACUGCUAAUACCGGAUGGUAUCGAAAGAUCAAAGAUUUAUCGCCCAGGGAUGAGCCCGCGUAGGAUUAGCUAGUUGGUGGAGGUAAAGGCUCACCAAGGCGACGAUCCUUAGCUGGUCUGAGAGGAUGAUCAGCCACACUGGGACUGAGAC
rnacentral:rRNA from 1 species